UAACAGGAUUAGAUACCCUGGUAGUCCAUGCUGUAAACGAUGAGUGCUAAGUGUUGGAGGGUUUCCGCCCUUCAGUGCUGCAGCUAACGCAUUAAGCAUUCCGCCUGGGGAGUACGACCGCAAGGUUGAAACUCAAAAGAAUUGACGGGGGCCCGCACAAGCGGUGGAGCAUGUGGUUUAAUUCGAAGCUACGCGAAGAACCUUACCAGGUCUUGACAUCUUCCGCUAACCUAAGAGAUUAGGCGUUCCCUUCGGGGACGGAAUGACAGGUGGUGCAUGGUUGUCGUCAGCUCGUGUCGUGAGAUGUUGGGUUAAGUCCCGCAACGAGCGCAACCCUUAUUAUCAGUUGCCAGCAUUAAGUUGGGCACUCUGGUGAGACUGCCGGUGACAAACCGGAGGAAGGUGGGGAUGACGUCAAAUCAUCAUGCCCCUUAUGACCUGGGCUACACACGUGCUACAAUGGACGGUACAACGAGUUGCGAAGUCGUGAGGCUAAGCUAAUCUCUUAAAGCCGUUCUCAGUUCGGAUUGUAGGCUGCAACUCGCCUACAUGAAGUUGGAAUCGCUAGUAAUCGCGGAUCAGCAUGCCGCGGUGAAUACGUUCCCGGGCCUUGUACACACCGCCCGUCACACCAUGAGAGUUUGUAACACCCAAAGCCGGUGGAGUAACCUUCGGGAGCUAGCCGUCUAAGGUGGGACAGAUGAUUGGGGGUGAAGUCGUAACAAGGUAACCA
rnacentral:rRNA from 1 species